UGACUGGGGAUCCUUAAGGAACCAACGGGCUCAGACACAGCUGUAUAGUCCUGACUAGGGAUCCUUAAGGAACCAACGGGCUCAGACACAGCUGUAUAGUCCUGACUGGGGAUCCUUAAGGAACCAACAGGCUCAGACACAGCUGUAUAGAACCAACGGGCUCAGACACAGCUGUAUAGUCCUGACUGGGGAUCCUUAAGGAACCAACAGGAUCAGACACAGCUGUAUAGUCCUGACUGGGGAUCCUUAAGGAACCAACGGGAUCAGACACAGCUGUAUAGUCCUGACUGGGGAUCCUUAAGGAACCAACGGGCUCAGACACAGCUGUAUAGAACCAACGGGCUCAGACACAGCUGUAUAGUCCUGACUGGGGAUCCUUAAGGAACCAACGGGCUCAGACACAGCUGUAUAG